UCCGGAGAAUCAGAUAUAUUGGGCAACUGGGGUAAUUCUAAAGCUUAUACAUGGCACCAAAGCUCCGAUCCUCGCGGAGAGGAGCGCAUUUGUUCGCCACAAAACCAAGCGCCCUUCUGGGCGUCCAUUGCUGAACCAGAACAACUCAGCUGAUCGCACGGUCUUGCACCGGCGACGUGUCUUUCAAGUGUCUGCCUUAUCAACUUUCGAUGGUAGUGUACCUGACUACCAUGGUUGUGACGGGUAACGGAGGAUAAGGGUUCGACUCCGGAGAAGGGGCCUGAGAAAUGGCCACUACGUCUAAGGAUGGCAGCAGGCGCGCAAAUUACCCACUCUCAACGCGAGGAGGUAGUGACGAGAAAUAACAAGACCGUUCUCUUACGAGGCCGGUUAUUGGAAUGGGUACAAUUUAAACCCUUUAACGAGUAUCUAUGAGAGGGCAAGUCUGGUGCCAGCAGCCGCGGUAAUUCCAGCUCUCAAAAUGCAUAGAAUUAUUGCUGCGGUUAAAAAGCUCGUAGUUGGAUCUGUGCCGACUGGCCGGUCCACCCUCUGGGUGCGCACUGGUUCGGUUGGCUUUUCCGCCGGAGUGCCUGGCGUUGGUGUGCUCGCGAGGGUGUGCCAGCGCGGGUCCGGCAAGUUUACUUUGAACAAAUCAGAGUGCUUCAAACAGGCGUCUCGCCUGAAUGUUCGUGCAUGGAAUAAUAGAAGAGGAUUUCGGUCCGAUUUUAUUGGUUUUGCUGACCGAGAUAAUGGUUAACAGAGACAAACGGGGCCAUUCGUAUUGCUGCGUGAGAGGUGAAAUUCUUGGACCGUAGCAAGACGGACUACAGCGAAAGCAUUUGGCAAGAAUGUCUUCAUUAAUCAAGAACGAAAGUCAGAGGUUCGAAGGCGAUCAGAAAUACCCGCCCAA
rnacentral:rRNA from 1 species